UUCACCUUGCUCCUGCCUGCAUAAUUCCAGCUGCCACUCUGACCGGGCUGCCAGUUUCACCUGCCCAAGCCUGCUUCCUUCUUUUACCCCAACAGGAAGACGUCUACUUCCUCUUGGAAACCCCCUUGAUUGAUUUCCUCCUUCUUGAUGGUCCCCAACACCUUCCGGUAGAGAUCACUUUUCUCAACUGGACUCCAAAAGAAGUUCACUACCAGGAUAAAUUCAAAGAUACAAACUAAGCACACCUGCCAGCUAAACCCAGGGACUCCCUCCAGGGGCUUUGCCUGCACGGAGUCAUCCAGAUGUGCCACCGAGGGCCAAAGAGAUGGCUCAGUGGGUAAAGUCACGCCACUGAGCACGACAACCUGGAUCUGAUCCCUGGGACCCACAGGAGGAAAAGGGAGAACCACACAGGAAUGCUCCGGGAGGUUGAGGGAGACAUAGAAAAGCACAGCACGUAUCCCAAGAGUCAUGGAGAGAAUCAGAGAGCGCAGUGUGCUGUUCCCGAAGGCUGGUGAUGUACUCCUGCCCUCUCAGCCUCCUCCCAUCCGUGUGAUACCUGGAUACAUCCAUCAGCCGAGGCUCAUUGUCACAGGACCGCUCAGCCUCAGUUUCAUCUGUGCGAGCAGAGCAGGGACCGGGAUGGUGGAGACGGACAACAUCCUUGCUAACUGACAGUACCUCUGCCCCAGGAGCCCUCAUGAAGGGCAGCCGUUAACGUGAAGGGGACCGUGUCCUGCACAGUGUCCUCGGAACCCCGAGGAAGCCGAUGACAUACUGGAGUGUGGACGUUAAUGCAAUCGUUGGAUAAUUCAAUCACUUUAUAGAAGUUGAUCUGUCCUUUUUAUUACAAUUACUGUCGGCUGGGGUGUUUCGUUCCAUCAUUGAAA